rnacentral:rRNA from 1 species
UACAGAGAGUGCAAACGUUGUUCGGAAUUACUGGGCUUAAAGAGCACGUAGGCGGCAUCGUAAGUGUCGGGUGAAAUCCCACGGCUCACCCGUGGAACUGCCCGGCAUACUGCGGUGCUAGAGUGUGGUAGGGGAGAGCGGAACUCCUGGUGGAGCGGUGAAAUGCGUAGAUAUCAGGAGGAACACCGGUGGCGAAGGCGGCUCUCUGGUCCACAACUGACGCUGAGGUGCGAAAGCUAGGGGAGCAAACGGG